CGCGAACUGAAGUCACGCGGCUGUUGGAGUCUAUAUUUAGAUACAACUCAUAGACGGGGGUUUCCCAAAGGGAAUUUUCACAAGACAAGGAAGAUUCGAGACGAUCUGCAAGUUACUUCUUCGCAGAAGUAAAACAGUCUGAGAGAAGGAUGAGGGAUGAUGAAAACGCUUACAACAUGAAUAUCAUGAGGAACCGCAUCAUGCGAGAUAUUAACAUCCACAACAAUGGUGACGUCAUCAGUGACGUAAUCGGUGGAGAUGACGACUCUGACGUUGAAAUGGAAGACCUCGAACGGGCACGUGCCUCAGAUGCCUCCUACGAUGUUGGAGAUGCUGACGAGGCAGUGGGGUAGGUGGGGCGAAAGUCAGGAGCCUCGUGCACGUGUUUGAAAUCGACAACACCCCCCCGUCAGUCAUGACAUCGGCGUUGUUUCCAUUUCUAGCUUCUCAGUAGCCUGUGUGUGUGUAUCAGUCAUGGACAUGGACUCAAAAAUACAUAUUUAUGAAGAUUUAACCUGAAAAUGAAACAUAUGUGUGAAACUUAUAGAUACAUAUGAAAUAUAUACACCAUAAAAUCACCACUCGCAUAUAGUCAUCGACACUGCGUACAUCGAUGCUCAUGAUGUCAUUCACUGGAUUGUCUGGUCCAGACUCGAUUAUUUAGAGACCACCGUCAUAUAUGUGGAAAUAGAAAUUAUGACAAACAAACAAAUGUAAACAAACAAACACGGCCCUGAUCAGGCCAAAGCACCUUGUGUUGAUAUAUGAGAAACUAAACAUAUGGAUGUGUAGUUAAGAACCUCAUACUAGUUCUAAGCCGGAAGGACCCGUGAAGAUGCGGGUUAGAAUACGUCUUCAACAACCCAUGCUUGCCGUAAAAGGCGACUAUGCUUGUCGUAAGAGGCGACUAACGGGAUCGGGUGGUCACGCUCGCUGAUUUUGUUGA